ACGCUCACUCGCUCCGGCGUCCAGAAAGUUCCAAAGAUUCUUAUAAACACGGCCGUUUCCGAAGAAAAAUAGAGCUCUGAAAGUUUCGAGAGCCUUCGCUCAAACCAUUUCGUAAGGUAAAUGAAGAUCCAAUCCAAGUACUUAGAACUAUUUAAUUUUUUUCUUCAGCUGCAACUGUGUUUGAUUGUUUGCAUUAACGGUACCCGAAUCUGAAUUCAACAUUGCGAUGUGAUCAUUUUCUGUUUCUCGAUCGAUUUCGUAUCGUCAAUUCAAUGCUGUAAAAAUCAACUCCGAUUUUAUUUUGGCGUUGUAGAUAAAUAUCUGCUGUUCGUCUGAUUUUCAUCUCUUCGUAACUGGAAAAGAUGUCGGAGUACGAUAAUGUGGUGGUGGAGAAAUUGAGGCUGAAGGGGAAGGCCGCCUUAGGUGUAAAAGGAGAUGGAAUUAGAAAGAAGAAGAAGCAGAAGCAGAAGCAGAAGCAGAAGAAGCGAAUUGACGGAUUUUCUCAACUUGUGAGAGAAGACGACCAUGAUCUGUCAGAUUGUUAGGAAGGAACAUUACUUCAUUGGUUGAUUGUUCAAAAGAAAAGGUACGUGAUACCCAUGGCGGCGGUGGCAAAGGUUUAUAUGAGGAUAUGUUAACAGCGGCCGAGAGGCGAUAUCUUCAACAAUGGGAGAAGAUUGAUCUUCAAAGAAUGUCCAAGAUGGCCAGCAAAUCUCACCGUGAUCGAAUUCAAGAAUUCAAUCAACGUUUGGCAAAUUUGAGUGAGCACCAUGACAUACCUAAAGUUGGGCCUGGCUAACUCAAUCAAGUUGUUAUUGUUGUGUUAUAUUAUUAUUAUUUUGAUCUUUUCACCAAUUGUUUCAAUUAUAUUCAUGUGAAAUAUGAAACAAAAAUUAGACAUUUAAAAAAAAAAAAAACGUUCUAACUUUAUCUGAAA